rnacentral:rRNA from 1 species
CGAGCGCAACCCUUAUCCUACGUUGCCAGCGCGUUAUGCGGGGACUCGUGGGAGACUGCCGGGGUCAACUCGGAGGAAGGUGGGGAUGACGUCAAGUCAUCAUGCCCCUUAUGUCCAGGGCUUCACACAUGCUACAAUGGCUGGUACAGAGGGCUGCGAUACCGCGAGGUGGAGCGAAUCCCUUAAAGCCGGUCUCAGUUCGGAUCGCAGUCUGCAACUCGACUGCGUGAAGUCGGAGUCGCUAGUAAUCGCAGAUCAGCAACGCUGCGGUGAAUACGUUCCCGGGCCUUGUACACACCGCCCGUCACGUCAUGAAAGUCGGUAACACCCGAAGCCCAUGGCCCAACCCCGUAAGGGGAGGGAGNGUCGAAGGU